rnacentral:rRNA from 1 species
GUCUCUUACGGACUAGCCAAUGAAAUUGAUCCUUCAGUACAAAAGCUGGAAUUAACCCAUAAGACGAGAAGACCCUGUGGAGCUUCAAAACCAAAAUCACUAAACAUGCCUCCUGGUUUUUUAGUUGGGGCGACUUUGGAGCAAAAAAAAUCCUCCAAAACAUAAAGUCAUUUAUUAAGAAAAACACACCAAAAAUAAUAUUAUAGACCCAGCAGUACUAGUUUACUGUCUGAUCAAUGAACCAAGUUACCCCAGGGAUAACAGCGCCAUCCUCUUCUAGAGUCCUUAUCGACAAGAGGGUUUACGACCUCGAUGUUGGAUCAGGACAC